rnacentral:rRNA from 1 species
GACGAACGCUGGCGGCGUGCUUAACACAUGCAAGUCGAACGGAAAGGCCCUGCUUGCAGGGUACUCGAGUGGCGAACGGGUGAGUAACACGUGGGUGAUCUGCCCUGCACUUCGGGAUAAGCCUGGGAAACUGGGUCUAAUACCGGAUAGGAGCCAUUUUAGUGUGAUGGUUGGAAAGUUUUUUUCGGUGUAGGAUGAGCUCGCGGCCUAUCAGCUUGUUGGUGGGGUAAUGGCCUACCAAGGCGGCGACGGGUAGCCGGCCUGAGAGGGUGGACGGCCACAUUGGGACUGAGAUACGGCCCAGACUCCUACGGGAGGCAGCAGUGGGGAAUAUUGCACAAUGGGCGCAAGCCUGAUGCAGCGACGCCGCGUGGGGGAUGACGGCCUUCGGGUUGUAAACUCCUUUCGCUAGGGACGAAGCUUUUUGUGACGGUACCUAGAUAAGAAGCACCGGCUAACUACGUG